AGAACGAACGCUGGCGGCAGGCCUAACACAUGCAAGUCGAACGCUCCGCAAGGAGAGUGGCAGACGGGUGAGUAACGCGUGGGAAUUUCCCCCAAGGUUCGGAAUAACUGAGGGAAACUUCAGCUAAUACCGAAUGGUACCGAGAGGUUAAAGAUUUAUCGCCUUGGGAUGAGCCCGCGUUGGAUUAGCUAGUUGGUGGGGUAACGGCCCACCAAGGCUUUGAUCCAUAGCUGGUCUGAGAGGACGACCAGCCACACUGGGACUGAGACACGGCCCAGACUCCUACGGGAGGCAGCAGUGGGGAAUAUUGGACAAUGGGCGCAAGCCUGAUCCAGCCAUGCCGCGUGGAUGAUGAAGGCCUUAGGGUUGUAAAGUCCUUUUAACGGGGAAGAUAAUGACGGUACCGUAGAAUAAGCCCGGCUAACUUCGUGCCAGCAGCCGC
rnacentral:rRNA from 1 species